UGGGGAAUAUUGGGCAAUGGGCGAAAGCCUGACCCAGCCACGCCGCGUGAGUGAUGAAGGCCUUCGGGUCGUAAAGCUCUGUGGGGAGGGACGAACAAGCUCCGGGCUAAUCACCGGGGACCUGACGGUACCUCCUUAGCAAGCACCGGCUAACCCUGUGCCAGCAGCCGCGGUAAUACAGGGGGUGCAAACGUUGCUCGGAAUCAUUGGGCGUAAAGCGCACGUAGGCGGUCUGUUAUGUCGGAUGUGAAAGCCCUUGGCUCAACUGAGGAAGUGCAUCCGAAACUGGCAGGCUAGAGUACUAAAGAGGGUCGCGGAAUUCCCGGUGUAGAGGUGAAAUUCGUAGAUAUCGGGAGGAACACCGGUGGCGAAGGCGGCGACCUGGGUAGAUACUGACGCUGAGGUGCGAAAGCGUGGGGAGCAAACA
rnacentral:rRNA from 1 species